UCAUCUCUUUCUGUGGUUAGUGUUCUGAUGUCCCGAAAUAAAUAAUCUUUGAAGUAAUUCUUGAUUCUUAGAUCAACUAGAGAACUCUUAGGAAACUUCCUCUCUUCCCACCAAAAAUAAUUAUAUAGUUAUCCUUGGGCGAUCAUGGAUCUUAAUUAGUACACUCACGUUCCCUGUGGAAAAUCGAUACUCUGGAAUACUCUCGGGUGAAAGCUACAUCGGUAUCCGUGCGCUUGCGGAUUUUUCUGUUUGCGUUUAAAAUACUCAACAUCUGGUACCUAGCAUAUCUGGAUACAAGUUUUAUUUGGUUCU
rnacentral:lncRNA from 1 species